AAUUCCACGUUAAUAUUUAGAUGAAACAAAUUCUUGAUGAUGCCCAGCAGCAGUCCAGGUCGAACAGCAGUCUCUAUUGUCAGCAUGCUGGUACAAAAUUGGCAAACACAUGCUGAGCCCUUUCCAAAUUCACUCUGAAGGUAUCAUGUUAAAGAGUUGCACGGAGUAUAGUGAUGUCUGUAAGUUGUAUUCAUAUGGUUUACAAAGCACAAAAAUAUGUAGGGAAUUUACCUAACCAAGCUAAAACUGCAUAUUCUACAAUAAAACUCAAUGACACCUAACUGAUCGCAGUAAGAAAAAUAGCGAUGCAGUUUAUAAUUUUAACUUUAUUUUUUUCUUUCCUCAAUCAUAUUCAUUGGUAUCGAUAAACAUACUAUGGAUUAAUUGCAAAAGGUUG
rnacentral:lncRNA from 1 species